ensembl:snoRNA SNORA58 small nucleolar RNA, H/ACA box 58
GGGCAUACUCGUAGACCUUGCCUGACUGUGCUCAUGUCCAGGCAGGGGGGACAGUGUAUGCAAGAAUAAUUUGGAGUUCCUGCCAGCUCUAACCAGCUUCAUCAGUGGCUGGAUAAAUUGCAGGACUCUAAACAUUU